rnacentral:rRNA from 1 species
AUGGCAUGGCGCCCCUGCUUUUGCGGCGGGGGCGGGGGAAUACCGACUACCGGCUGGAGCUUUGCGGCGGGAGCGCGUACAGCUGCGGUGGCGGUACCUAUCCUAUCGGGACUCCUCUGCUUUUUUGUUCUUUCUUUCUUUCUUUACCGCGGCGCGAACGACCACGCGUGCGGUGCAAGCCAAGUCGUCGAGCCUCGUCGUUUGUCACACGCAGCAAAGCAUCGGCGGCGCCGCGACGACCUUUUACGAAACGAAUCAAGCGGUGAAAAAUCGGCCGUACGCGUCCAGACCGACGUGGCCAUGAUCGCGACCGUGAGCGAGGCCGGCGCAGCGGCCACCAGGGCUCUCUCUGUCGCGUUUUGCCGGGCGCUAGGUGCUCCGUACGCUCUCUGGCUAGCUGCCGCGUCGCGGUCCGGGCGCGACGUGGAGGCCCUCCGCGCGUUGGGGUCUGGGAUCUGUGGGUCGCGUCGCGCUCGGCUGGUGCCCCCGAAACCGGGGGCCGGGGCCCCGUUGGUGGUGGGUGUGAGACGACGGGGGAGGAGGUGGCGUCGUCGUCAUGGAUUGGUUGCGAGACAUGACUGCACGGGACGACGGGAAGGAGCGGCCCGUCGUUUACACCAACGGCGAGGCCGCUGCAGACGCGCGGCGUGUCGAUCGCUUCUUUGCGUGGCGAGCAUCACCAAGGGUGUGCUUUGCUUUUGA